rnacentral:rRNA from 1 species
AGCGAACGUUAGCGGCGCGCCUAACACAUGCAAGUCGCACGAGAAAGGGCUUCGGCCCCGGUAAAGUGGCGCACGGGUGAGUAACACGUGGGCAACCUGCCCAACCCUGGGGGAUAACCUGCCGAAAGGCGGGCUAAUACCGCGUACGAGGGCUCGACUUCGGUCGGGUUCUGAAAGCAGGCCUCUGUACACAAGCUUGCGGGGUUGGAUGGGCCCGCGGUCCAUCAGCUAGUUGGUGAGGUAAUGGCUCACCAAGGCUACGACGGAUAGCUGGUCUGAGAGGAUGAUCAGCCACACUGGAACUGAGACACGGUCCAGACUCCUACGGGAGGCAGCAGUGGGGAAUCUUGCGCAAUGGACGAAAGUCUGACGCAGCGACGCCGCGUGGGUGACGAAGGCCUUCGGGUUGUAAAGCCCUGUGGGGCGAGACGAACAGCUUCUGGUCAAAUAGGCCAGGGGUCUGACGGUAUCGCCUUAGCAAGCACCGGCUAACUCUGUGCCAGCCGCCGCCGUAACAC